rnacentral:misc_RNA from 1 species
AGAGUUCGAAAAGGCGGACGAGGCAGCUAAGAACAGGAUUUUGCACCUGGCCGACUGAUCCAAACUUCUGACACUAGAAAUGCAAUAAAAACUAUGAUUAAAAGGAAAAGACUUCUUCCUGUGGGGGCUUUGCUGGAAUUCAAGCAGCACAAGAUCAGUUUCAUUUUAUAUGGUGUGGAUUUGGUAGCAGUGUAAUUAUUUUCUUCAUUUUGUCUGUGGUCAGCUAUUUUUUUUCCAACAUUGAGGAUUCUGUCGUGAUAUACAAUGUCCUCGUUGGAUCUAUAGCUCUCGUCGCCAUCGGUGGAAUCGCAAUUUCUAUACCAAUAUUACUUAGCAUCGAAUGUACCAUUGUCUCAUUCACAUUUUCUGUUACAGCUUGCAUUAUAUCUGCAUGUGCGUAUCUUUAUAUUUCGGGUGUUUACAUAUCAAAGUUUCAAAAUGUCGACGUUUAUGAGCCUGAAUUUGAGAAAAAAUUCACCGAGAAAUACAUAUUCGCGUCGAAUUUGUUGUACACGACGAUAUUCUUGUUUUAUACACAUUUUAUGGGAAUCUUAGCAUACGUACUGCGGACCUGAAGAUUUGUUUCAUAAAUUUUCAGGAAAUGUAAUCAAGGCUAAAAGGAAUUUGAAAGAAAGAAAGACACUUCCUUUUUCAAGUUUUUGAGAAAAAUAUCUGGUUCUUCAAGAUAACGAAAUUAUUUCUAA